UCAUUUAUAGUAUAACCAAGUAUAAUUGCCUUCCAAGCAAUAAGUCCUUAGCAGGUAAAUGAA
rnacentral:tRNA from 1 species